UGUUGGUGUGUGACCUACCCGUAGCUCCGAAUAUGUGUGGGACAAAUUGCACAACACAUAUCGGUCCACGGGAAAGCCACACAUUGACUGA